AUUGAACGCUGGCGGCAGGCUUAACACAUGCAAGUCGAACGAGUGGCGGACGGGUGUGUAAUGCUUGGGAAUCUAGCUUAUGGAGGGGGAUAACUACGGGAAACUGUAGCUAAUCCCGCGUACCAUAGGUUGAGCCCAAGUGGGAUUAGGUAGUUGGUGAGGUAACGGCUUACCUAGGCGAAGAUCCCUAGCGGGUCUGAGAGGAUGAUCAGCCACACAGAGACGGGUACAAGGCCCAGACUCCUACGGGAGGCAGCAGUGGGGAAUAUUGCACAAUGGGCGAAAGCCGGAUGCGGCCAUGCAGCGUGUAUGAAGAAGGCCUUCGGGUUGUAAAGUACUUUCAGUGGGGAGGCGUUACCGACAGAAGAAGCAACGGCUAACUACGUGCCAGCCGCCGCGGUAAUAC
rnacentral:rRNA from 1 species